UACAGAGGUCUCGAGCGUUGUUCGGAUUCAUUGGGCGUAAAGGGUGCGUAGGUGGCGUGGUAAGUCUGGUGUGAAAUCCCGGGGCUCAACCCCGGAACUGCACUGGAUACUGCCAUGCUUGAGUACUGGAGGGAGGAGUGUAGUUAAUGAUGGUAGCAGUGAAAUGCGUAGAUAUCGUAAGGAAGACCAGUGGCGAAGGCGAAUCUCUGGACAGUUACUGACACUGAGGCACGAAGGCCAGGGGAGCAAACGGG
rnacentral:rRNA from 1 species